rnacentral:rRNA from 2 species
AGGACGAACGCUGGCGGCGUGCUUAACACAUGCAAGUCGAACGAUGAAGCCUUUCGGGGUGGAUUAGUGGCGAACGGGUGAGUAACACGUGGGCAAUCUGCCCUUCACUCUGGGACAAGCCCUGGAAACGGGGUCUAAUACCGGAUAACACUCUGUCCCGCAUGGGACGGGGUUAAAAGCUCCGGCGGUGAAGGAUGAGCCCGCGGCCUAUCAGCUUGUUGGUGGGGUAAUGGCCUACCAAGGCGACGACGGGUAGCCGGCCUGAGAGGGCGACCGGCCACACUGGGACUGAGACACGGCCCAGACUCCUACGGGAGGCAGCAGUGGGGAAUAUUGCACAAUGGGCGAAAGCCUGAUGCAGCGACGCCGCGUGAGGGAUGACGGCCUUCGGGUUGUAAACCUCUUUCAGCAGGGAAGAAGCGCAAGUGACGGUACCUGCAGAAGAAGCGCCGGCUAACUACGUGCCAGCAGCCGCGGUAAUACGUAGGGCGCAAGCGUUGUCCGGAAUUAUUGGGCGUAAAGAGCUCGUAGGCGGCUUGUCACGUCGGAUGUGAAAGCCCGGGGCUUAACCCCGGGUCUGCAUUCGAUACGGGCUAGCUAGAGUGUGGUAGGGGAGAUCGGAAUUCCUGGUGUAGCGGUGAAAUGCGCAGAUAUCAGGAGGAACACCGGUGGCGAAGGCGGAUCUCUGGGCCAUUACUGACGCUGAGGAGCGAAAGCGUGGGGAGCGAACAGGAUUAGAUACCCUGGUAGUCCACGCCGUAAACGUUGGGAACUAGGUGUUGGCGACAUUCCACGUCGUCGGUGCCGCAGCUAAC